AUGCUGGAGCAGGAUAUAGACAGAAUCAGAGCAAUUGGGGGGGGGGGUGCUACCAAGUUUGCACAGAGAGAGGGAUCUGAUCAAAAUAAGAAUGGAGCCAACCUUAGGGUGAUGUGCAACAAAUGCAAGGAUUUCAGACAUCUGACUAGGGAAUGCAAACUCCCAGACUGCAUUAUCUGUGGAAACAAUUCUCACAUUACAGAGGAUUGUAACUGGCUAAAGCAGAUAAAACCACUUCCCAAGUUUGUUGGAUAUGCUGUUAGAGGUUUGGGAGUGCUGCUGAUACAGAAUUCUAAGGAAGUUGUGAACAGUGAACAAAUCAAUCCAAUGGCAAUUAUCACUAUUGCUUUUAGAGAAAUUAAUGAAACUCAGUUCCUGGAAGGCUUAAAUUACAUGUUUAAGUGGGAUUGGCAAUGGAGAUGCAAGAAACAUGGAGACAUGGAUUAUCUUAUGAGAUUUCCAAAUAAGAGCAGACUAAUUGAACUUCACAAAUUUGGGAAUUUCAACCUCCUAGGGACAAAAGCUGUCAUCAAUGUAGAUAGUUGGACUUAUGACACACAAGCCAUAGGGAAGCUUCACACUAUGUGGGUGAAAUUGGGGAAAGUGCAUGAAUGUUUCAGACACUUCUUUGGUGCUUGUGAGGUGGCUGCUACAAUUGGUGCAGUACUGGAGAUUGACAUGACAACAAUUUUGCAGGAAAAAAUAAGAGCCAAGGUAGGCGUGAGAGACUCUGAAAAAAAUACCCAAGCACACUCAAGUGACUGA
rnacentral:rRNA from 1 species